UAAAACAAAAACCUUAAACAAUUCACAGAUAGUAGCACCGAUGUUUCCACUUCCCCAGCUGCAUGAGGACACAAACACAUUCUGCUGACUGACCAAGACAUGUAGAGUUCAGUAAUAGGUGGCAUACCACAAUCAGCAGAAGUUCUAUCCAGAACGAAAACCUCCUGAACCACGGCGUUCAUAUGGUCCAGUGCGAUCGCGAUUGUAUCGAUCAGUUCCUGGACCUCCACGACUACCAGCAUCCCUGUUACGCCCACCAAACCGAUCUCCAUUUCGAUCAGGACCAUAACGACCCCCACCUCCACCACUGUACCUCUCCUCUCUGCCCCCAUAUCGGCC
rnacentral:lncRNA from 1 species